rnacentral:lncRNA from 1 species
AACCAGAACCUUUCUUUUUGCCACGUCAGAUCCGUUGUGUUAUGUUACGUUUGGGCCUUCGUUUCUUAAUUUUAUUUUCAUAUGGACUUUGUUUGUUUUAGGCCAGGGCUUCUAUCUAUUGUGUUAUGUCGACAAACGUAAAAAAAAAAAAUAAACUACAGAACACGGAGAUCGCGAUGCAGACGGAGGUCUCGAGGAACUACGCCUCUGCCUCUUCCUCUUCUCCGAUUCAAAGCGCAAAGAGCUCUGAUCGAUCAACUUCUCCACAAACGAAACUCCACUUUAUUUCUUCAAUUAAUUUUGUCUUAAUGUUAUCGUACUUCUGAAUUCCCAGUUACAAUAAUCAAAAUUGUG